CAGCCAUGCCGCGUGCAGGAAGGAGGCCCUAUGGGUUGUAAACUGCUUUUGUACGGGAAUAAACCUAUCUUCGUGAAGAUAGCUGAAUGUACCGUAAGAAUAAGGAUCGGCUAACUCCGUGCCAGCAGCCGCGGUAAUACGGAGGAUCCGAGCGUUAUCCGGAAUUAUUGGGUUUAAAGGGUGCGUAGGCGGAUAUCUAAGUCAGUGGUGAAAGACGGUGGCUCAACCAUCGCAGUGCCGUUGAUACUGGAUAUCUUGAAUGUACUUGAGGGAAGCGGAAUGUGGCAAGUAGCGGUGAAAUGCAUAGAUAUGCCACAGAACACCGAUAGCGUAGGCAGCUUUCCAAGGUAUGAUUGACGCUGAGGCACGAAAGCGUGGGGAUCGAACAGGAUUAGAUACCCUGGUAGUCCACGCCCUAAACGAUGAACACUCGAUGUCGGCGAUAUACGGUCGGCGUCCAAGCGAAAGCGUUAAGUGUUCCACCUGGGGAGUACGCCCGC
rnacentral:rRNA from 1 species